rnacentral:rRNA from 1 species
CCUACGAGCGGCAGCAGUGAGGAAUAUUGGUCAAUGGACGCAAGUCUGAACCAGCCAUGCCGCGUGCAGGAAGACGGCUCUAUGAGUUGUAAACUGCUUUUGUACGAGGGUAAACGCAGAUACGCGUAUCUGUCUGAAAGUAUCGUACGAAUAAGGAUUGGCUAACUCCGUGCCAGCAGCCGCGGUAAUACGGAGGAUUCAAGCGUUAUCCGGAUUUAUUGGGUUUAAAGGGUGCGUAGGCGGUCGGAUAAGUUAGAGGUGAAAUCCCGAGGCUCAACUUCGGAAUUGCCUCUGAUACUGUUCGGCUAGAGAGUAGGUGCGGUAGGCUGAAUGUAUGGUGGAGGCGUGGAAUGCUUAG